AAGGUCCUAGCUUAAUUAAAGUAUCUGAGUUGCAUUCAGGGGUUGCAGGGUAAUGUCCUGCGGAUCUUA
rnacentral:tRNA from 1 species